rnacentral:rRNA from 1 species
AAUGAACGUUGGCGGCGUGGAUUAGGCAUGCAAGUUGAGCGAGAAGAUUUAAAAAGAUACUUCGGUUGAUUUUUAGAUUGGACAGCGGCGAAAGGGAGAGUAACGAGUAGAUACGUGCCCGAGGGUCCGGGAUAGCUGUUGGAAACGACAGGUAAUACCGGAUAAUGUUUCCGAACCAAAGAUUUAUUGCCCUCGGAUCGGUCUGCUUACUAUUAGCUAGUUGGUGGGGUAAUGGCCUACCAAGGCUCAGAUGGUUAGCGGGUGUGAGAGCAUGGCCCGUCUCACUGGGACUGAGACACUGCCCAGACACCUACGGGUGGCUGCAGUCGAGAAUCUUCCGCAAUGGACGAAAGUCUGACGGAGCGACGCCGCGUGAUGGACGAAGGCCCUCGGGUUGUAAACAUCUGUCGUAGGGGAGGAAAUUUUGACCGAUCCUAGGAGGAAGCGCAGGCUAAGUUCGUGCCAGCAGCCGCGGUAAU